GGUAGUGAGUCAAUGGGUAGAGAAGAGGAAUUUUAAUUCGGCUGAAGUGACUGAUUCUGAUCAUCAAGAGGAUAUGAAGUUUCCACUACACUAAGAAGGUUAGGAGGAGUGUGUCUGUAAAUCUCAAAAGGAUACAUCUUAGUACUUCCACACAGUGUGGUAAAAACUAAAGCAAAGCUGCUAAUCAUUUAUGCCCUUUAGGAAUAAAUGUUCGGUUUGUCCUACUAGGCAGAGAAUUAUGACUACACAAGGUGCUUGCUGAAGGCAAAGAGUAUAUGGGUGGCAAAAUGAAGUAUACAAUUAAUAAAAACAUGUUACCAGUUGCAGAAAUAAACGCUAAUAUGUAUUUCUUCCUUAUUUUUAUGUGAAUGAUUUGUACUUUUAUUAACCAGCUCUGUUUUUUCUCUCUCCAACCCCCAAGAUAUCAGUUGUGUUAACAGCAGCUAAGCUUAUAUCUCAGGAUUUAAGUUAGAGCAUAUCAAAAAGGGAAUGUGAUUCAGCUGUGAUUGAACUCGAAGAGAAAGGCACAUUAACCAAAACUGAGUAAAGGAAUUUGCAUCUUUUCAGGAGAGUGUUAGCAUGAUUUUAUGUGUACAUCAAAUACUUUUAUCAUAUUACAAAGUUUUUAAUUUUCUUAAAAACUGAAGUCUAGUUGAUUUACAACAGAAAGAUGUUUUUACUAAUAUAUUUAUUUGGAAAUUAAGUAUGAUUAAAAGAGGUUAUGUGGGUACCCAGUUGUGAAGUGAAAGAUUGUGAUAGCUUUGUUUUGUGUCAGUUUAGCUAAACUGGAACCAUUUUUCCCAAUUACGUCACUGCAUCAUUGGCCACAACAGAGACAGGUGUGAGGUUAGAAGGAAGAAAAGAAGAGCCAGAGGUUGGCACUGAGCUAGUCUUGUUGCCGUUCAUGUGUGCAGUGAUGAUCAUCUGCUGGUCCACCUUAUUGGUGCUGGGGAACAACAGCAGGGCUUAUAGAUCUAACCAGAGCUGCUCUUUCAGAUCCUGUAAAUCUCAGGCCAGGUCAUGCACAUAUUCAUAGAGAAAGUUACCAACUUAGUGUACAGUUCACCCACAUCAUCAAAAUUGAAGGGGAUGAGAAAAACACACAAUCUUAUUCACUCUAGUGGGUGCUGGUUUUCCUCACAGAUUUCAAGUCUCUACCACAGGUUCCUUCAGUGUUCAUCCUUGCUUUCUUUCACUUCAUGUCUAUAUUUCCUUGCUGAAUUUAGGCCUAAUACCAGACUGCUAACCAGCUCCCACAAUUGCAUAAGGUCUAAUCCUCAAACUAAACCCCUUAUAUACAUCACUUACAAUAAAUCUACCUGACUGGAUCCUAAUUGAUAUGUCCUCAUAUGGUCUUAUGUUUAUCCUGUUUAGAAUAUGUUGAGCUUCUUGGAUCUGCUUGAAAUUAUACCAUAAGUUACUCCAUUAUUCUUUUUCAGCUGCUUUUUUCCCAUGCUUCAGUUUUAAUUUCCUUUGCUCCAUCUUCAGGUUUACUUAGAGUUUCUUCUGUAGUAUCUAGUCUGCAAUUAGGCCCAUUCAGUGAAUUUUAACUUUUGCUAUUUUAUUUUUUGUCUCUAUUAUUUCCCUUUUUAUAUAAAUUUUAUUGGAGUGUAGGUGACUUAACAAGUCUGUGUUAGUUUCAGUUGUACAGCAAAGGGAUCAGCCAUACAUAUACAUCCAUUCUUUUUCAAAUACUUUUCCCAUAUAGCCUAUCACAGAGUAUUAAAUAGAUCUCCCUGAGCUAUACAGUAGGUACUUGUAGUAUUUCCUUUUUUAUAGUUGUCAUUUCCCUAUUGAGAUUUCUUAUUUCCCUUUUUAAACUUGAGUGUUCUCUUUAAAUCCUUGAGUAUUUUUAUAACAGCACUUGGAAAGGCAUAGCCUACUAAUUCUAUUGUCUGUGUCAUUUCUGGGUCUGUUUUUAUUGAAUAACUUUUACUCUGGAUAUAGGUCACAUUUUCCUACUUCUGUGCAUGUCUAGGAAUUUUUUAGUACACACUGGACAUUACAGAUGUUUCACUGUCGACUGUAUGUAUUUCAUUCCUUCCUUAAUAGAGUGCUGAGUUUUGUUCCUGCAGAAAGUUAAUUUACUUGCAGUAGAAUUUGAUUCUUUUAGGCCUUGUUUUUAAGGUACGUCUAGAAUAACCUUUUCUCUAGGACUGGACUACCCCUACUUCUAAGUCAUGACCUUUUUGUAGUUUCUACUGAAUUUGCUUUGUUCAUAAGGUCCUUUUACCUUGCCAGAUAGGAAUACAAAUAUCUACCUGUUCUGGCUAGCUUUAGGAGAUCAAUAUUCUGUUCUUCAGUGUUUGUUCUUUACUGUUAUUAUACUUUGUCCCAUCUGAGGAAGUUUCAACCUCUGUGUGCGCAAGCGUGUGUGUGUGUGUGUGUGUGUGUGUGUGUGUACACACCAGCCAAAGAUUCAAGGGGAUCCCUAGGCAGAUUUCUGGAACUCCUACUCGGCACACCUCACUUCCCUCAUGAAUUUUGCCACACACAUUCCAGCCACCUCACUGACUCUGAAUUCUGACCUCUUUCUUUACUCUGAGAGACUGGGGUGCUCUGUUUCCAUAUCCCCUCCUGAGCCACAGCCUAGAAAGUGACACUAAGCAGAAAUCUGGUACAAUUUCUGGGUUCAUCUCAUUUUUCCCCCUUCCUCCAGGGAUCACAGUCUUGGGCUGCCUUUUGCUCAAUGUCUAAAAUGAGUGAUUUCAUAUUUUUUCCAGUUUUAAUAGUUGCUUAUGGCAGGAAUCCUACUGUGAUACUAGUUCUUUCAACAUGGCUAGAAGUAACAUUUACUUGCUCUACUCUUGUUUAAUCCUGACAACAAACAAAUCUAUUUACAUGUAUUAUGUUCUUAGAGGCUUAACAUUAAACCAAAUGGAAUAAACGCCACAGCAAGCGGAAUCACUUAAAAUUUCUCAACCCCCUCCUCACCCCAAACUCCUGAGGAUUUGAUAAUUCUAAAAGCCAGAAUCAUUUGAGUGCUAAGACAUUUGCAUGUAAAUUUUUAUUUGUUCCUUUUAUUCUGCAUGGUGGUUGUCAAAAUUUACUGUGCAUAAAAAUGACUAUACAAAUCAAUGAUCCCCUACUUAAUGGGACACUUAAAGGUUGUUCUAGGAUAGUUUGGACUAUAAUAUAUUCAAGUUCAUUUUUAGCCUCAAUGUAAAACGUGAGUCUGUUGUGUGCCUUUUGCAGAUAUUGGAGUGAAUUGCAUUCUGAUUUGUUUAUCCUGAGAAAACUUUCAAGGAUGACUCAGUCCUGUGGAAAGGAGAUGGGGGGAGUAGUUUUGUGUAUAGAGGACCUCGAAGGGAAAAAAAUCCACAGAGAAAAAGCUAGAACUGAGAUACUAGAUGUUAGAUAGCAAGGAAAUAUAAUCUAUGUCUUAACUUCUCUUCUAAUCUACACUGAAAAGAUUACGUCUUUUAAAAAAGCUCCAGAAAAGUAGAGUUAAAAACAGUCUACACAUGGAGGAAAAUGAAUGCAGAAGUUGUAUCUUUUCAGCUAUGCCAUUCUAUUUGUAUCCUUAGUAUUUGUUUUCCUUUUAUUAUUUCUCAAUAAAAUCUUCUUGGUACUUGAGCUUCCAAGCAGAUUUCCAUUUUUUCGUUGUUAUUGUUCUUCUUUAAAUUUAAAGUAAAAAAAAAUUAGACUUACAGAAAAAAAUACAGUAGGACAAAUAAUUCUCCUGUAUUGUCACUCAGAUUCCCAAGUUAAUAUUUUAUUAUAUUUGCUUUCUGUGUAUGUAUGUUCUGUGUGUGUGGUUUUCAGAUUUUUUUGAGAAUAAGUUACAGAAAUAAUAAUGUUUUAUCUCUAAAUGCUUGCAUACUGUUUCUUAAAAACUACCGUAUUCUUAUAUAUAACCACUGUACCUGAUCCGGGAUCUAAUCCAGAGUCACAAUUUGCAUUUGGCUGUUGUAUGUCUUUAGCUUUCUCCAAUGUAGUAGAAUUCCUUAGUCUUUUCUUGACUCUCACGAUCUCGGCAUUUUUGAAAAAUAUCAGUCAUUUACUUUCAAGGAUAUCCCCCACCUUGGCUUUGUCUGAUGUUUCCUCAUUCAGGUUGUACAUUUCAGGCAGGUGUAUCACAAAAGUUACCUUCUAGGUGCAACACAUCUGGAGGUUGUCAAGUGGUGAUUUAACUUCACUUGAUUUUUUGAAAAAGGAAAAUCCUUAUCAUGAUUUACAAGGUCCCACACUAUCUGGCCUCUGCUUAUUGUUAGACUUCACUCACUGUCAUCUCUUUUCAUUUCAUGAUCUGGUGAUGGAUGUACCCAUUCCUUAGAGAAAAAUGUAGCUGGAAAAAAUACCAACUUCUACCAUAGUUACCCCUCUAGUGAGGUCCGACAUGGUUUAAGCAACGUUCUAAUUUGGCACACAGCAAGUUCAAUGAUGGUUACUUGCUGAGUAAGAGAAAUGGAGACGAAACAUUUGAACACACAGCAGACGAACUUCCUUCUGUUUUGUAAUACAUUCUGGUAUCGUUUUCUGUGAAUGCAGUCAGAUGGAGUUGUUUGGUGACUUUUUUUUUUUUUUUUUUUUUUUUUUUUUUUUUUUUUUUUUUGGUCUCUUUUGAUGGGGUAGAAGUGGGCUAAAGCCAUAAGAAGAAAAAUGUGAUAAAUGUGUCUAGUACAUACCACUUUAUCCUUGUUUUGUAAGAAGAGUUGAAAUUUUUUGAUAACAUGAAUAAAUGAUGGAAAAAUCUUUUUAAAAAGUCCCUUGGAGAUAUCAUGUUCUCUGAGGUCCUUUGUACCUAUGGACUACCUGAAAUACUUCCUCCUUCCAGCCCCCUCCAUUUUACCUGGCUGAUUGCAUCACCUGUGAGCUGUCCUUACCCUCCAAGAGUUCUAUUGUUUUGUUCUCCUAUCAGCCCUAACCCUAACAACCACGUGACAUUUUAAAGUACUUGUUUUCAUGUGUUUUGUCCCUAGUAGACUCUGAAUACCUUGAAUAGAGUGAUAUUGAUAUGUUCUUAGCACCUAAAACCCUAGUACAGUAUUUGGCACAUAGAACAUUUCAAAAUAUAAUUUUGAGUACAUUUCUUUUAGAGUGCAAUUCCUUGGGAAAAAUUAAGGAUUCAGGCACUGAAUCAAAAUAAAGCUGAAUUUGUAGCCAGUUCUACCACUUAGCUCAGUAACCUUGGGCAAGUUCAUUAAUCUUCAUGGACCUCUUUUUUCUUAUUUGGAAAAGUGGAAAUAAUUACUCUUAUUUGGCAUUAAAUGAGUCAGUGUACGACAAAUGAUCAGGAUAAAUGCAGAUAAUCUGAAUAGUGCUCCAUAAAUGGUGGCUUUUUUUCUACUUGUUAUGAGUCUGCUAUGCACACUUUGACCAUGGUGUGAAAACCAAAGGAAAAACCUGAGCCCACGGUGGAGGAAGCAGCUUCUAACAGCCAGAAAGGAACCUCAGGGAGGCAGAAUGGUACCAGGUACAGCCUUUCUGUUCCUGCUGUUUUCUUGUUGGAAUCAGCUCUGAAGUUAUGGGUUUUUAUGUCUUGCAAUUAAAGGUAGCCAUAGGAUAAAUGCCAAUUCUAGGCAUGGCGUUGAGUAAACAAAAGAUGACCAGGAGUUCUAUUGUGGCUCAGCGGUAACGAACCCAGAUAGUAUUCAUGAGGACGCAGGUUCCAUCCCUGGCCUCGCUCAGUGGGUUAAGGAUCCACCACUGCCAGGAGUUGCUGUGUAGGUCGCAGACGCACCUCGGAUCUAGCGUUGCUAUGGCUGUGGCAUGGCCAGAGGCUGUAGGUCCGAUUCAACCCCUAGCCUGGGAACUUCCAUAGGCUGCAGGUGCAGCUCUAAAAAGACAAAAAAAAAAAAAAAAAAAAAAAAAA
rnacentral:lncRNA from 1 species